CGUGCCCAACAGCUAGCCCUAAUACAAAACACCAACCUGAACCUUAUCCAUAACCCUACACACACGCAAAUCAUAUAAACAAACCAUUUUUCCCCCGUAGUAUCAGCGAGAGAAAAAG
rnacentral:rRNA from 1 species